rnacentral:siRNA from 1 species
UCGGGCAAUCAAUAAUAUUA